AUGAAAAUGUGUUUUUCAACUGUAACGAACCAUUAAUACUUCAUGGGCUCACAUGCAGUUUAAAUUGCUCCAGUGAGGACCUGCAGAUUCAUCACAAUUCUGUGCUUGGUAAAAGGCACUGAGGGUUAGACUCCUAGCAGCAGUCUGUCUCCUGUUUGCAGCCGGUUAUCGGGAAAUAAAUGAUCACCACAUAUGGACAUGCAAAAGAAGAAAAUGCCUGGUCACUGGAAGCAUAACAAAAAAGUCCCUUUGAUUUUGGAGCACUGGAGCCAUAGAGCUUUUUGAGAUUUCUCCAUUAUCAUGAAGAUGUGGAAGGUCCUUCUGGUUUCCAAGAAAAGCUGGGACUCUUGUACAACUGCUUCCCUCCAGAAUCUUGUGCCCUAUCUCCUGUCUUAAUUCCAGCCCCAGUCUGCAAGUACCUCAAGACUUUCAAUUAAAUCUGUUGUCAAUGUAAUUGCGAUCACUGACAACAUGGUGUCACUGGAAGAGUUCCUUUGCCCAUAGCUGAAGGAUUUGGGUGCCCUCUCUAUUUCACAUCUGCAGUGAUGUCCAGGGCAUAGUUUACCUGCUUCGUAAAAUAAUGUCUUAUUUGCACAGCAACCUCAGCUAUGGAAUGAAAAUAUCUUCUCUGGCCCAAAUUGUGAACUGUUAGAAAUCUGGCAGAACCCAUGGUGGAGGUGACUGCACCUCAGUGGUGGGAAGACUGAUAUUAAUUUUGUUCUGGCACUGUUCCCAUAAAUGAAACUUCUAUAAUAUUUCUCUUCGAGGUACAUAGGAGUUUUGCAUUCUGUGAGCCUUCAGGGUAAGGUCAUCCGUUUGUAAAACACUAAAAGAGUGACUGAGAUGAAUGCUAUAAUGAGGUUUGUUUGUCAAAGAUUUUUUCUGUCUUUAUGUUUGAUUUCCCUUGAAAUGAUGAGAGUUGACUUUUGCACCCAACACUUCAAUCUUUUUCAAAACUAGCUGUGCUCAGUAGGACUCACUUGUAGAAUUACAUCACUGAUGAGCAUUUUUGAUACAGUGCUUAUUCCACUGUGUAUUCCUAACAUAAUGAGUUAUAACUUUGCUGCUAAUUAGGUGUGCCACUGGCUGAAAUUUAAAAUCAAAAUCCUCUCCAAGGCUGUAGCUAACAUUCAGCAUCGUAAUGUCAUAAACAUGUGUAAGCAGCAGUUUGCUCUGUUCCUGCACCUGUGGGGACUUCUGCUUGCCACUCUAUGGGCCACUGUCUGAGCCAGAAUAGUUGUUUGUAUGGCCACAGAGGAAACUGGGAAAGGAAACUGAUGCAAGUGAAACAGAAAUCAGGAAACACAAAUGGUUAUUUUUUCAGCAGGAUCAGUUCCCUGACCUGGCUCAUCGCGCAGUCCUGUGAACAGCUGAGCUCACAUAGUGCAGAAGAUGGUGUAAGGAGGUUAAAGUGGCUAUGAGUAUCUCCACUGCUGCUUAGGGGAAACACAGCCUUAGUUACCUCUCUUGUGGUCCUAGGAUUUUAUAACUGAUAAUCUGUAUGCAAGGUCUUUUCCAAGGACAGAUCUUACAUUAAUGAAUUAACAGAGUACCAAAAGCAAGCAUUAGCGUAACUCGCUAUAUCUGAGCACAGUGUUCAGAAUGAUGUCCUGUUCUGGGCCCUCAAUGGCCUGCGACAGAAAAAGGUAAAUGAGAACCCUAUAGCAGCCACAUUCCUCUUUCUUCUAUGAAUAGAAGUUUCACUACCAAAGCUCUGAAGAACAGACACUCCUGUAGUGGUGGCACAAAAUAAUUUCACAGUUGCUGUAUAAGAUGGACUGUACACCUUGCAAGAUCUCAUAGGAAAACUAUUUAAUAUAAUUGAGUUUUUCUUGUCACCCUUGUUAUACAAUUCCACUGAGAAGCUGAGUUUUUACUGGAAUAAUACUACUAAAAAAAAAAAAACAAAAACAAAAACCAACCAAACAAAACAAAAAAAAACAAAAAUACAAAGGGUCUGGCUCAUGCCCAAAAAAACAAGGAAAUUUAAAGAUAAAGAAAGCUGUCCUUAUUUCACCCCGUUGUGCCUGAGGACAGCUGGGGUUUCCAAAGCUGGCAGGCCGUACUGUGACCUGUUCCACUGAGGGUGAGCCCUUGCCGCAGACAAACCGGACUUUCUCUCUGGCUCCUUAAUGGGAAAGUCAUGUGGCACUACUGAAACCCAGGCUCUGACAUCUAAAAGCCCCCUUGGCCAUGUGUGUGGCUGGGAUGGAUUAGGGCUCCAGGCUUGCUGACAAGAUGUGGAGUAGCGGAAGAUGCAAGCAGGCUGUACUUCCCUUGGUUUGGCUGAGUGGCGCCCAGUUCCCUAGGACUUCUGCCUCAGACCGGUGGAUGGCCUGGUCCAGCCUGCCAAGCGUGAGUAUGGGCCACUGUCAGGAAAACCAACCCCAACCAACAGAGACACCUCUGCUCACAUCCGGCCUGAACAGGCUGGUGGUGCUUGGAGGGCAGACAGGGCAGUGGGGGGAUAAUUACUAAGAAAAAAAUUUCAAAAUAAAGUAAUCCACCUUGCAUGAUCAUUUGUUAAGCAAAUGCUUUCCAUGCUUAAUGCAUUUGCUGAUUUCGUUAUGACAUUUAGCAGCAUGGUCUGUGUUUGCUGUCCAUGCUUAUGGGCCUCUUCCAACCUUGUAACGUCUUGGAGGACCAAAUACACUCUUUCUAAUUUUUAUUCUUUUGUUAUUCUGGUUGUUUUACUAUUGCCACAAGCCUUCAGAGAAGCUAGUUCUUACAGUUUUGUCUCAUAACUCAUUAACUUUGCACUAUCUAUUUCAUUUAUUCCUGAAUCCUUUAAAUAUCAAAGGAUUUUCUCUACCAUCUUUCUGAGCUUAUGUGGUGAAUGUAUGUGCUUUCAUUCAAAAUAAAAUUAAAAGGCAUAGAUCUUGGAUGUGAAAAUGUGCCAAAGCACUGGGUAAAAAUCUGUUAUUUCCCCAUCUGUGACUUCUGCGUCUCGGAAAAUGCUCAUUGCAUUGUUUAUGUCUUAGCAGAGAAUAAAAUGCACAUAUGUCAUUUAGAGGCU
rnacentral:lncRNA from 7 species